rnacentral:rRNA from 1 species
UACGUAGGUGGCAAGCGUUGUCCGGAAUUAUUGGGCGUAAAGCGCGCGCAGGCGGUCCUUUAAGUCUGAUGUGAAAGCCCACGGCUCAACCGUGGAGGGUCAUUGGAAACUGGGGGGACUUGAGUGCAGGAGAGAAGAGUGGAAUUCCACGUGUAGCGGUGAAAUGCGCAGAUAUCAGGAAGAACACCCGUGGCGAAGGCGGCUCUCUGGUACGUGACUGACGCUGAGACGCGAAAGCGUGGGGAGCAAACAGG